rnacentral:rRNA from 1 species
CCUACGGGGGGCAGCAGUGGGGAAUAUUGGACAAUGGGGGAAACCCUGAUCCAGCGACGCCGCGUGAGUGAAGAAGUAUUUCGGUACGUAAAGCUCUAUUAGCAGGAAAGAAAAUGACGGUACCUGACUAAGAAGCCCCGGCUAACUACGUGCCAGCAGCCGCGGUAAUACGGAGGGGGCAAGCGUUAUCCGGAUUUACUGGGUGUAAGGGGAGCGGAGACGGCAGCGCAAGUCUGGAGUGAAAUGCCCGGGCCCAACCCCGGAACUGCUCUGGAAACUGUGAAGCUGGAGUGCAGGAGAGGUAAGCGGAAUUCCUGGUGUAGCGGUGAAAUGCGUAGAUAUCAGGAGGAACACCGGCGGCGAAGGCGGCUUACUGGACUGUAACUGACGUUGAGGCUCGAAGGCGUGGGGAGCAAACAGGAUUAGAUACCCCUGUAGUC